UUUUGAAUUUCGUGAACUAUUAAAGUAACCAAUUUAAUAUUUCUUCUCAGGUGUUGAUCAAGAAGACUGGAACUAGUGCAGUUGACACAGAUAAAAAGAAGUGCGAAUUGAGGUCAAUUACUGGCAAUGAAAUGCUCGACUUGUGGAUUGAUGGUUUCAUAAAGCUUUGUUGCAGAUUUUAUUCGAGAAAUGAAGGAAAUUAAUUCGAAUUGGCAGUUAAGCUGGUUUCAUGUUGAAAUUAUAGUAUUUAGUUAGAUUUUAGUUUUACUUGAAAUAGAACAUAUCAUUUGAUUUGA